UACGAAGGGGGCUAGCGUUGUUCGGAUUUACUGGGCGUAAAGCGCACGUAGGCGGAUCGUUAAGUCAGGGGUGAAAUCCUGGAGCUCAACUCCAGAACUGCCUUUGAUACUGGCGAUCUCGAGUCCGGAAGAGGUGAGUGGAACUCCUAGUGUAGAGGUGGAAUUCGUAGAUAUUAGGAAGAACACCAGUGGCGAAGGCGGCUCACUGGUCCGGAACUGGACGCUGAGGUGCGAAAGCGUGGGGAGCAAACAGG
rnacentral:rRNA from 1 species